AGAUUGAACGCUGGCGGCAUGCCUUACACAUGCAAGUCGAACGGCAGCACGGGGGCAACCCUGGUGGCGAGUGGCGGAACGGGUGAGUAAUACAUCGGAACGUGUCCUGUAGUGGGGGAUAGCCCGGCGAAAGCCGGAUUAAUACCGCAUACGAUCUACGGAAGAAAGCGGGGGAUCGCAAGACCUCGCGCUAUAGGGGCGGCCGAUGGCAGAUUAGCUAGUUGGUGGGGUAAAGGCCUACCAAGGCGACGAUCUGUAGCUGGUCUGAGAGGACGACCAGCCACACUGGGACUGAGACACGGCCCAGACUCCUACGGGAGGCAGCAGUGGGGAAUUUUGGACAAUGGGGGAAACCCUGAUCCAGCAAUGCCGCGUGUGUGAAGAAGGCCUUCGGGUGUAAAGCACUUUGUCCGGAAGAAACCUUUGCACUAUACUGUGAGGGAUGACGGUACCGGAAGAAUAAGCACCGGCUAACUACGUAGCCAGCAGCCGCGGU
rnacentral:rRNA from 1 species